UACGUAGGCAGCAAGCGUUGUUCGGAGUUACUGGGCGUAAAGAGUGUGUAGGCGGUUUGUUAAGUUCGGUGUGAAAUCUCCCGGCUCAACUGGGAGGGUGCGCCGGAAACUGGCAGGCUCGAGUGCGGGAUGGGAAAGCGGAAUUCCUGGUGUAGCGGUGAAAUGCGUAGAUAUCAGGAGGAACACCUGCGGUGUAGACGGCUUUCUGGACCGCUACUGACGCUGAGACACGAAAGCGUGGGGAGCAAAC
rnacentral:rRNA from 1 species